rnacentral:snRNA from 1 species
GCUUUGCUUUUGCAACGCAUAUACUAAAAUUGGAAAUGAUACAGAGAAAAUUAGCAUGGCCCCUGGUGCAAAGGCCGACAUGCAAAAUGUGUGGAAGUGGUCCAUAUUAUU